rnacentral:lncRNA from 13 species
AUCAGAGGGUUCAGGCUGUUAUCUCUGGAUAUUAAUACACACUGUAGGGUCCCACACCUCCUCCAUUCUCUCCUUCUCCUUCUCUCUCUCCCUCUCUCUCUCUCUCUCUCUCCUAUUGUCACGUUUCUGUUGAUCAGUGGAAAAUACUUCUAACUGAAGUCAGUUCUUCUCUCCAUCUGUCAGACCAGAGCAACCAUGUCAGACAAUGAAGAGGUUGAAGAGUUUGAGUAAGUCUUUAUUCAUUAUAUAUGUACAAUGGUGUAAAGCCACUAAGUAAAAAUACUUUGAAGUACGACUUAAUUAUUUUUUAAGGGUAUCUG